rnacentral:rRNA from 1 species
GACGAACGCUGGCGGCGUGCUUAACACAUGCAAGUCGAACGGGUGGCGAACGGGUGAGUAACACGUGGGUGAUCAGCCUUGCACUUCGGGAUAAGCUUGGGAAACUGGGUCUGAUACCGGAUAGUGCAAGAUGAGCUCGCGGCCUAUCAGCUUGCUGGUGGGGUAAUGGCUACCAAGGCGCGACUGGUAGCCGGCCUGAGAGGGUGUACGGCGUCAUUGGGACUGCGAUACGGGCCAGACGCCUACGGGAGGCAGCAGUGGGGAAUAUUGCACAAUGGGCGGAAGCCUGAUGAAGCGUCGCCGCGUGUGGGAUGAAGGCCUUCGGGUUGUAAACUCCUUUCGACAGGGACGCGGUACCUGUAUAAGAAGCACCGGCUAACUACGUGCCAGCAGCCGCGGUAAUAC